rnacentral:tRNA from 1 species
GGGCCGGUAGCUCAGCCUGGUUAGUGCCUGUGGGCAACUAAAGCAACGGUCUUAUAAACCGUAGGUCGCGUGUUCGAAUCGCGCCCGGCCCA